rnacentral:rRNA from 1 species
UACGAGGGGGGCAAAUGUUGUUCGGAAUCACUGGGCGUAAAGGGAGCGUAGGCGGGUUCUAAGUCAGGUGUUUAAUCCCGGGGCCCAACCCCGGACAGGCACUUGAAACUGGGAAUCUUGAAUAGUGGAGAGGUCAGUGGAAUUGGGGGUGUAGCGGUGGAAUGCGUAGAGAUCCCCAAGAACACCAGUUGCGAAGGCGGCUGACUGGACACAUAUUGACGCUGAGGCUCGAAAGCAUGGGGAGCAAACAGGG